rnacentral:rRNA from 1 species
UACGUAGGUGGCAAGCGUUGUCCGGAUUUAUUGGGUUUAAAGGGCGCGUAGGUGGCUUGGCAAGCGUGUGGUGAAAGCCCGGGGCUCAACCCCGGGUCUGCCGUGCGAACUGCUAUGGCUUGAGCACUGUAGAGGCAGGUAGAAUUCCGGGUGUAGCGGUGGAAUGCGUAGAGAUCCGGAAGAAUACCGGUGGCGAAGGCGGCCUGCUGGGCAGUGGCUGACACUGAGGCGCGACAGCGUGGGGAGCAAACAGG